rnacentral:rRNA from 1 species
GAUGAACGCUAGCGGCAGGCCUAAUACAUGCAAGUCGAACGGUGUAGCGAUACACAGUGGCGCACGGGUGCGUAACACGUAUGCAACCUACCUUACAUUGGGGGAUAGCCUUUCGAAAGGGAGAUUAAUACCGCAUAAGACAGUAACUAGGCAUCUAGUAGCUGUUAAAGAUUUAUCGAUGUAAGCUGGGCAUGCGUCCAAUUAGUUAGUUGGCGAGGUAAUGGCUCACCAAGACGAUGAUUGGUAGGGGAACUGAGAGGUCAAUCCCCCACACUGGCACUGAGAUACGGGCCAGACUCCUACGGGAGGCAGCAGUAGGGAAUAUUGGGCAAUGGGCGCAAGCCUGACCCAGCCAUGCCGCGUGCGGGAAGAAGGCGUUAUGCGUUGUAAACUGCUUUUAUACAGGAAGAAACGACCCUUGCGAGGGGCAUUGACGGUACUGUAUGAAUAAGCACCGGCUAACUCCGUGCCAGCAGCCGCAGUAACAC